rnacentral:lncRNA from 1 species
GCCCUUUAGACUCUACCUUCUUCUUGGCUCGGCGGCGUUACUUUCAAUAAGGCUGCAUUGGCUGCUAUGAGUCUUACGCCAGCCUCUUCGGGUACUGUCAGGCGACAUAAUUCAAAACUCAACUUAUUUCCCCUAGCCUUAUUCGCCAUAAAAAUGAUUUACAUGUGCAUUUACAGCCUACAAUUUAUACUUGGCAAUUUCAUCUUAUCAUGUGGUCUCUAGCUGCACGUACCGGCUGUACGCUUCAGAACACAUGGUGAAGUUUGGGCUUUUUCAUUGCAGUCCGAAGUGCUCAUGGAUUUGUUGAAGCCAGCUGGCGAAAGGUUUUGCUCUUACAUUAGCUACCUGUACCAGUUGUAGCUUUCGUCACACACUGAAACACUUCUGAAGAAUUUAAAUAGGAUUAACAGCCCCUUGAAGUCUGAGCCUCUUUGUUGCAGUCCAACAUGUACAUGAAUUUUGUGCAGCCAGUUGGAGAAUGGUGUGGUGAGCUGUUGCAUGCAGACUGGGGUGCUGGUGUCGUUCGUUCAUUUAACUAUGGACCGUUCAGUCGUUCGUUUAUCGUUUCCAUGGUCAGUUUUAUGUUUGAGCUGUUUGGGGUACAGUGGUUUUGCUGUCAUUUUCCAGUUGAGACAUGCGCUGAAAUGGAGCUUGUGCGGACUUGCAGUUGAACAUCAUACUUAAAUGUGUCAUUUGCCUAUGUCGGUGUCCAUGCAGUCUAUGCAGUGUUGAACUGCUGUGCCAAAUAAUCAAUGUUGCCUGAUGGCUGUCGGGCUUAUUUUAUCGGCAGCAUUUUGUCGAUAUGUCGUCUCUUGCUACCUUUACCGCCGUUGAGUUGAUUUGUUUGCCGCCGUUCCUUAGACUUGAAACACCGGUGAAACUAAGAAGACGUUGCUGAAAUUCAAGAUUGAUCAAUAAAUUAUGUAGAUAAAUUACAAGUGCAUAUCUGGGCUCCCUUCUUCAGUGGCCCCGUUUCCCUAAAUAACCACUAACCAACGCCCGCCGGUGGUCACUCACUCGCUGCGACAACCAGGAGGAAGGGAGAUGUUUGGUCGAACGGGGACUUGCAAGGCGCAUGAUUCGAUGAAAUCUGUUGGAGGGUCAUGAGUCUAAGCCGGAAGCCUACUAUGACACACUGCUCUCAUAAUAACUGCUCCUCAGCUCUCUUCGCUCUUUUUCCGGUUUCUCUUAACCAUGGCCGGGUAAUCUCCCUGGUCGAGUCAGUCGGGCAGUGUCUCCCCUUGCUUGACUGGCAGCAAUUUGAACCCGGUCGGUCUGUUUAAUAAAUAAACUAUUUUUUAAUAUGUC